rnacentral:rRNA from 1 species
AUUGAACGAUGGCGGCGUGCUUUACACAUGCAAGUCGGACGAGUGGCGAACGGGUGAGUAACGCAUCGGAACGUACCUAGUAAUGGGGGAUAACUGUCCGAAAGGACAGCUAAUACCGCAUAUUAUUCGAGUGGCCGAUGUCUGAUUAGCUGGUUGGCGGGGUAAAGGCCCACCAAGGCGACGAUCAGUAGCGGGUCUGAGAGGAUGAUCCGCCACACUAGGGUGAAGACACGACCCAGACUCCUAAGGGAGGCAGCAGUGGGAAAUUUUGGACAAUGGGCACAAGUCUGAUCCAGCCAUGCCGCGUGUCUGAAGAAGGCCUUCGGGUUGUAAAGGACUUUUGUCAGGGAAGCGGUACCUGAAGAAUAAGCACCGGCUAACUACGUGCCAGCCGCCGCGGUAAUAC